AGUGAACGCUGGCGGUAGGCCUAACACAUGCAAGUCGAACGGCAGCACAGUAAGAGCUUGCUCUUACGGGUGGCGAGUGGCGGACGGGUGAGGCAUACAUCGGAAUCUACUUUUUCGUGGGGGAUAACGUAGGGACACUUACGCUAAUACCGCAUACGACCUACGGGUGGCAGCAGGGGAUCUUCGGACCUUGCGCGAUUGAAUGAGCCGAUGUCGGAUUAGCUAGUUGGCGGGGUAAAGGCCCACCAAGGCGACGAUCCGUAGCUGGUCUGAGAGGAUGAUCAGCCACACUGGAACGGAGACACGGUCCAGACUCCUACGGGAGGCAGCCGUGGGCAAUAUUGGACAAUGGGCGCAAGCCUGAUCCAGCCAUACCGCGUGGGUGAAGAAGGCCCUCGGGCUGUAAAGCCCCUUUGUUGGGAAAGAAAAUCAGCAGGUUAAUACCCCGCUGUUCUGACGGUACGCAAAGAAUAAGCACCGGCUAACUUCGUG
rnacentral:rRNA from 1 species